CAAGUCAUUAUUAUUAGAAAAAUUCUUAAUAUCAAAUUUAUGUGGAUUCGACUCUGUUACCAACUAUUUUUAAUGGUUUUGACAACAGCUGUGAGCUUACGCAAGAGGAAGGAUUCAUGAUCAGAGAGUUGUUGGUGAAGCUCCGCGCAGGAGACUGGUGUGUAACGAGCACAGAGCAUAAGCAAGCAAAUUAUAGUCUUCAGGAAGACCAAGGAGGACAUGGAGAAUAAUCUCAUCGGACUUGAGGGGUUCACUGGCAAUAGUAAGUUGAUCCGACAGGUCCUUAAUCUGUUGAAGGUAUUGCGAUAUUAUUUGACUUCCUUUAGAAAGGGAGGCCAGGGAUUCGCGCAUAUGCAUAACAUGUGCACGAGAUGGGGUGGCAUACAUGGCUCUAAGUUGAGUCUAGACUUCAUAAGAAGCGAGAGCAAAGAUCAUGAAAGGCACAAUCUCAGGGGAAAGAGAGGCUAUGAGGGCACUGCAAAUAAGUUGAUCUAGUCGCUUGAGGUAGGAACCAGUAGUUGAUUCAGGUGAUAGAGGUUGAUUAACAAAGCGAAUGAAAUCAUAGUCUUCUAAAGGAGAGGACCACUGUGUAUGCCAGCAAAAAUAGUUUGUGGGAGUGAGUUUGAGAGGAGCUUGGGUAGCGGCAUUAAUGGAGAUCAGUGAAUGAGUGGAGCUAGGAUCACUGACAAGAGGAAUGACUGUGCUGGAGGUUGGAAUGACACUGUUCGUUGGUGCAGAAGAGGAGUUGUUGGUUUGGUCAACAAUAGCCAUGGGAGUAGUUUGCGUGGUUGAGCAAGAUUGGGAGAAGGGGAAAAAAAAAAUUGUUUGUUGUUAGGCACUUCUGCUCUGAUACCAUACAGGGAUUGUAUAGAAAACGAAAAGAGAUAUUUUUAUUGACUCUAUAGCAGUAGUAUUUAUACAGAGUGUAUAUUUGGUAUGCUUAUUUACAUGAAUAGAUUGUAAUCAAUUACUGAAAUGAAUAAAUGGAAAGAGUAUAAGAGCAAAUUGCUUAUUCAAUGGAAUAAGUUAUGGUUCUUAUACAGUUUGGGCAGUGAGAACCCAUCGUCGUCGAUGGCUGAAUGUAGCUUCAAACUCAGCAAGCCUCCCACUGUAUAAAGCUCAAUUUCCUUGUCAGAGUAGUUCAAUAUUAUAUAAGAGUACUACCAUAUAUAUUUAUAUAUACAAGUAGAAUUUUAUUUUAAAUUUACUUUUUAUAUUACUAUAUUAAAUUUUAUGUAUAAAUAUAUGAAUUUAGAUGUAAAUAAUGUAGUAAUUUAUAAUAAAAUUUAUUCUCAUACAACUCCUAUGUCAUUGAUGGAUUCACAUCAAAUUAUCAAUGAUAUUGUACCAUUGAUUCGUCAAUCAACCAUUCACUAAACAUCUAUUAUUCUGAGGCAUCUAUACACUGGUCAUGGGCUGUUCGUUUUAUCUGCAGUUGUGGCAAAAUAUCUGAACCAUAUUAGGCCCAGUCAGUACAUCUCUACAGCUCCUGGAAUUACAAUAGAAACCAACACCCUGCUUUGUCUUUAAAACAGCACCCUGAUGUAAUGAAUUUAUACCUAGAAGGCUAGAACUAAGCAAAGAAAGCCCUGCAAGAAAAGUGAAACAGUCUCAACCUUCACACAACUCAAGCAGAUACCAGUUAUUCUGGGAAGCAUGAAAUUUUGUCUGAAGAUCCCUUCUGCAAAAACAUGGAAUCCUUUUUUUUGACUCGCACGUAGUAGGGAUCACUUUCUUGUAUUGCAAUCAAGGACCAGAUUCACUUCUUUAUUCUAUAAAAUGUCGAAAUUUUUCAACCCUUUAUCACUAAGUGAAGGGCUCAAAAUCAAAAUCCAAUUGGACCUGAUAUGAACCUGUCCUACCUGUAAAAUAGAAGCAUAUAAAAAAUUUUUGUUUUCCUUUUCUGCAAUAAUGGUCCAAGAUAUCGUCUCAACUUUCAGGAAUCAGAACAUCAAGAAAUAUUUCAACCUGCAGCCCAGAAAUAUAAAAUAUUUUAAAUGAUUUGGGAGUGCUAUAUUAUUCUCACGCAAAGGGGACAAAUCAACCGAAUUGUGACGUGGGUGAGUUCUGCUCGUCCCACUUGCUUUUUUAGAAGCUCAAUAUUAAGAGAUAAUACAUGCUCAUUUUUACAACUACUUUUUGGCAACUUGCAUCUGCUAUUAUUUGGAUUUUCACUGAGGAUUCCAUUUUAAUUUUGAAGUUGAAAUAUAAUUUGAUGAUUCUGAUGUGAUGGGAAAUUUUGGCAAUUGCAGUGAAUAGAUGGCAAGGAAUCUGCAAAAGGACCGACCUUUGGUUCUUAGAUCUCUUAUUGGAAAGAACACUUUCAAUAGUUCUUGUGAUUCAAAAAUGGAGUAAGUUCUAUUCUUUAUAAUCUAACUUGAAGAGGCAACCAGAUCAUGAUGGAGAUGGAAGAAACUCAGAAUAUUUCUCAUGCUUGAUUUUCUCAACCAGUUAGCUAUUCAAAACUUUAAGAAAGGUCUAAAAGUGAGACAUUAACAGUUUCUUGAAAAGCUUGUGAAUCAAACAAUGGAGGAGUUAUCAGAAGGAUAUGAUAUCAGCUCCUUUAGAAAGCUGUUGCAUGAGAGGUACAGAUGUCAUCUUCCAAAACUGGCAUCCAUUGUUAAAGAAGAUGCCUCAUGCCUGGGGUAAUAGUAGAGAACAGUGCAAUUGUACAAUUCCUUCCAUUAGAGCCCCAAGUGCUCCAUUCAGGAUAGUGUUGUUUCCAAUAUCCAAGAAAGUAACUUGAGUCUGCUUACAGCGCAUAGUCUGCUCAGUUAAAAACAUCUCACUCGAUCUCAAGGUCCCAAGUUCGAUCCAUCACCUUAAGUGAAUUUGAUGAUGCAUAAAGAGAUGAUGAUUCAAGAUCUACAUUGGAGGAACUGGGUCCUGUUGACAACACAGGGUCUAGCAGGAAAGGACCAGAAGAAAAAAGCACCUAUGCCAUCAUGAGCCUUUUCUCUCAUAUGAUGAUUUUUUUUAAUAUAUUGUUUGUUUUAAAUAUUAAAUAGUAAUUGAUAAUUUUUCAAGUUUUUUUAUUUUAAAUUUUGGAGAUAUGUCAUGUACUGAUAAAAUUUUGGUUUAAAUACAAUAUAUGCUCGGUUAAUAAUAUGUGGAUUUAU
rnacentral:lncRNA from 1 species